rnacentral:rRNA from 1 species
GAUGAACGCUGGCAGCGUGCCUAAUACAUGCAAGUCGAGCGAACAGACGAGGAGCUUGCUCCUCUGACGUUAGCGGCGGACGGGUGAGUAACACGUGGAUAACCUACCUAUAAGACUGGGAUAACUUCGGGAAACCGGAGCUAAUACCGGAUAAUAUAUUGAACCGCAUGGUUCAAUAGUGAAAGACGGUUUUGCUGUCACUUAUAGAUGGAUCCGCGCCGCAUUAGCUAGUUGGUAAGGUAACGGCUUACCAAGGCAACGAUGCGUAGCCGACCUGAGAGGGUGAUCGGCCACACUGGAACUAAGACACGGUCCAGACUCCUACGGGAGGCAGCAGUAGGGAAUCUUCCGCAAUGGGCGAAAGCCUGACGGAGCAACGCCGCGUGAGUGAUGAAGGUCUUCGGAUCGUAAAACUCUGUUAUUAGGGAAGAACAAAUGUGUAAGUAACUAUGCACGUCUUGACGGUACCUAAUCAGAAAGCCACGGCUAACUACGUG